rnacentral:rRNA from 1 species
GGAGCGGGGGAUAACAUUUGGAAACAGAUGCUAAUACCGCAUAACAACAAAAGCCACAUGGCUUUUGUUUGAAAGAUGGCUUUGGCUAUCACUCUGGGAUGGACCUGCGGUGCAUUAGCUAGUUGGUAAGGUAACGGCUUACCAAGGCGAUGAUGCAUAGCCGAGUUGAGAGACUGAUCGGCCACAAUGGAACUGAGACACGGUCCAUACUCCUACGGGAGGCAGCAGUAGGGAAUCUUCCACAAUGGGCGCAAGCCUGAUGGAGCAACACCGCGUGAGUGAAGAAGGGUUUCGGCUCGUAAAGCUCUGUUGUUGGAGAAGAA